ensembl:processed_transcript
UUAUCCCAGCCGGCACACGACCGACCUUCAACGUUGAAAUAUGGUUGAAAUAAGGUCAGUUGUGUUUUGAAAGUUGAAAUAAUGUUGAUAGAACGUUUAAUGUUGAAUGGUUGAAAAACAGCCUGCAUAUGACAAGGCUUCAACGUUGAAAUGUGGUUGAAAAUAUGUCAGUUGUUGCUUUCAUGUUGAAACAAUGUUAAAUGAUAAAUGGUUGAAAAAAGUUACAGAAAUCCUUGUACAAAUCAACGUUGACAUUUUUUAUCAUGAUCUGUAUGUUGAAUUAACGUCAUGGCUUCACCCAACAUUCAACAUGUUUGGUUACCAUGGUAUUGGAGGACUCCGCGCACGCGGCCACGCGCAGCGCUUCACUUCACUUAAUUACGAACACCUGACCUGCAGUGCAGCAGAAUUCAGAGACGCACUAACUUGCACAGCAUUGAAUGGAAAAGGCUUUGUCCAUGUCCAGUUGAGGGGCAUCAAGAACACGCAGAUAGCCUAAACCUGUGUCAGCCUGGACAGACUGCAGUUCUGCUACUCCACACCAAGGCUUUUGUAUGGAUGUCUUGACUGCUACUGUGUUCUCUAAAGGUAUUACUGGAGCGUUUUCUGGAAGCUCCAUUUGAGGGCAUCAAGGACAUACUGAUGGCCUAAACCAGUGUCAGCCUAGACAGACAGACAUCUAUUGCAGUUCUGCUACACAAGACCAAACUCUCUGCUUUUGUAUGGAUGUCUGACUAGUACCGUGUUCUCUAAAGGUGUAACUGGAGCAAAACAACAGCACCCGUUACAGUGAAAUUUGCAUUCAUAAAAGAUAGUGAUAUAUCAGGUAUAGUAACAGGUCCAGUACAUUUGUCAUAAAGGUUAAAUCACAGUAAGUACUGUAAAAAUAACUUGUUUGCCUUUGCCACAACAGGUCAUGGUGUGUGCAUACUGCUCGUAGUAAACACACACGCUGAUCUGAUGCGGGAGAGAUAUAUGCAAACACAUUUGUAUUUACUGUUUUGUUUUGCCUCACUAAAGUGUUGUUGGAGCUUGGUAUGUUCACAGUGGAAAUCACUGAAGUCACAUGGAACGUUUUGACAAUGUGUUUUGUGCCUUAUCUUGACAAUGACUAUCUUGGGACCAUUGCUGUCUGUAGAGGAUGAGGAGCAUUUAAUCUAACAUAUUUUAGUUUGUGUUCUGAAGAUUAACAAGUAUCUGGGAUGACACAAGUAAUUAAUAACAGAACCUAU